GAACUACUGAGGGGCCCAAGCUGAAAGAAAUAAAGACUUCCAGUACAUCACCCUGACAGUAAAGAACCAAGAAAAAGUGAAGUCUGAGUCGUUUCUUAAUGUUUGCAAACACUGUCGCUCAGAUGCAAGAAGUGCCAUUGCCCCAUUUUACAGAUGAGGAGACAGUGGCUGGCUGAGAAAGAAGUAACUGAAGUCUGUGUGCUCAAGUGACUACAGCAGUAAGACUGGACAGAGAGAGUGUGUGUCUCUGCAAGGACAAGGAGUAUUUUAGCAGGAGGCAGAUGUGAGAGGAUUUAGAGGAUAUUAUAGAAAAAUCCUUGUAGUGCUCGAGCUGUUACAUGGCUGCUGUAAAACAGCAAACAGGUUAGAGGCUAUAACCACAAGGA